rnacentral:rRNA from 1 species
GAUGAACGCUGGCGGCGUGCCUAAUACAUGCAAGUCGAGCGAACAGACGAGGAGCUUGCUCCUCUGACGUUAGCGGCAGACGGGUGAGUAACACGUGGAUAACCUACCUAUAAGACUGGGAUAACUUCGGGAAACCGGAGCUAAUACCGGAUAAUAUAUUGAACCGCAUGGUUCAAUAGUGAAAGACGGUUUUGCUGUCACUUAUAGAUGGAUCCGCGCCGCAUUAGCUAGUUGGUAAGGUAACGGCUUACCAAGGCAACGAUGCGUAGCCGACCUGAGAGGGUGAUCGGCCACACUGGAACUGAGACACGGUCCAGACUCCUACGGGAGGCAGCAGUAGGGAAUCUUCCGCAAUGGGCGAAAGCUUGACGGAGCAACGCCGCGUGAGUGAUGAAGGUCUUCGGAUCGUAAAACUCUGUUAUUAGGGAAGAACAAAUGUGUAAGUAACUAUGCACGUCUUGACGGUACCUAAUCAGAAAGCCACGGCUAACUACGU